UACGGAGGGUGCAAGCGUUAUCCGGAUUCACUGGGUUUAAAGGGUGCGUAGGAGGGCAGGUAAGUCAGUGGUGAAAUCUUCGAGCUUAACUCGGAAACUGCCGUUGAUACUAUCUGUCUUGAAUACCGUGGAGGUGAGCGGAAUAUGUCAUGUAGCGGUGAAAUGCUUAGAUAUGACAUAGAACACCAAUUGCGAAGGCAGCUCACUACGCGAAUAUUGACACUGAGGCACGAAAGCGUGGGGAUCAAACAGG
rnacentral:rRNA from 1 species